rnacentral:rRNA from 1 species
CCUACGGGUGGCAGCAGUGGGGAAUAUUGCACAAUGGGGGAAACCCUGAUGCAGCGACGCCGCGUGAGUGAAGCAGUAAUUCGUUAUGUAAAGCUCUAUCAGCCGGGAAGAACAAGACAGUAACUGAGUAAGAAGCCCCGGCUAACUACGUGCCAGCAGCCGCGGUAAUACGUAGGGGGCAAGCGUUAUCCGCAUUUACUGGGUGGAAAGGGAGCGUAGACGGCAGUGCAAGUCUGGAGUGAAAGGCGGGGGCUCAACCCCCGGACUGCUCUGGAAACUGUACGGCUGGAGUGCAGGAGAGGUAAGUGGAAUGCCUAGUGUAGCGGUGAAAUGCGUAGAUAUUAGGAGGAACACCAGUGGCGAAGGCGGCUUACUGGACUGUAACUGACGUUGAGGCUCGAAAGCGUGGGGAGCAAACAGGAUUAGAUACCCCUGUAGUC